GUCCACGCCCUAAACUAUGUCGACUAGUUGUUGGGGGAGUCUGUCCCUCAGUAACGUAGCUAACGCGUGAAGUCGACCGCCUGGGGAGUACGGUCGCAAGAUUAAAACUCAAAGGAAUUGACGGGGACCCGCACAAGCGGUGGAUUAUGUGGAUUAAUUCGAUGCAACGCGAAGAACCUUACCUACCCUUGACAUGCCAGGAACCCUGCAGAGAUGCAGGGGUGCCCGAAAGGGAACCUGGACACAGGUGCUGCAUGGCUGUCGU
rnacentral:rRNA from 1 species